UAGAUACCCUGGUAGUCCAUGCCGUAACUUGGCACUAGGUGUGGGGACAUUCCACGUUUUCCGCGCCGUAGCUAACGCAUUAAGUGCCCCGCCUGGGGAGUACGGCCGCAAGGUAAAACUCAAAGGAAUUGACGGGGGCCCGCACAAGCGGCGGAGCAUGCGGAUUAAUUCGAUGCAACGCGAAGAACCUUACCAAGGCUUGACAUGAACCGGUAAGACCUGGAAACAGGUCCCCCGCUUGCGGUCGGUUUACAGGUGGUGCAUGGUUGUCGUCAGCUCGUGUCGUGAGAUGUUGGGUUAAGUCCCGCAACGAGCGCAACCCUCGUUCUAUGUUGCCAGCACGUGAUGGUGGGGACUCAUAGGAGACUGCCGGGGUCAACUCGGAGGAAGGUGGGGACGACGUCAAAUCAUCAUGCCCCUUAUGUCUUGGGCUUCACGCAUGCUACAAUGGCCGGUACAAAGGGUUGCGAUACUGUGAGGUGGAGCUAAUCCCAAAAAGCCGGUCUCAGUUCGGAUUGGGGUCUGCAACUCGACCCCAUGAAGUCGGAGUCGCUAGUAAUCGCAGAUCAGCAACGCUGCGGUGAAUACGUUCCCGGGCCUUGUACACACCGCCCGUCAAGUCACGAAAGUUGGUAACACCCGAAGCCGGUGGCCUAACCCCUUGUGGGAGGGAGCUGUCGA
rnacentral:rRNA from 1 species